rnacentral:rRNA from 1 species
GUGGGGAAUAUUGGACAAUGGGCGAAAGUCUGAUCCAGCCAUGCCGCGUGUGUGAAGAAGGUCUUCGGAUUGUAAAGCACUUUAAGUUGGGAGGAAGGGCAGUAAGUUAAUACCUUGCUGUUUUGACGUUACCGACAGAAUAAGCACCGGCUAACUUCGUGCCAGCAGCCGCGGUAAUACGAAGGGUGCAAGCGUUAAUCGGAAUUACUGGGCGUAAAGCGCGCGUAGGUGGUUUUGUAAGUUGGAGGUGAAAUCCCCGGGCUCAACCUGGGAACUGCCUCCAAAACUGCAUGACUAGAGUACGGUAGAGGGUAGUGGAAUUUCCUGUGUAGCGGUGAAAUGCGUAGAUAUAGGAAGGAACACCAGUGGCGAAGGCGACUACCUGGACUGAUACUGACACUGAGGUGCGAAAGCGUGGGGAGCAAACAGGAUUAGAAACCCCAGUAGUCC